AGUCGAGGGGCAGCGCGGGAUAGCAAUAUCCUGGCGGCGACCGGCGGAAGGGUGCGUAACGCGUGAGCGACAUGCCCGUUGCCCGGGGACAACCGGUGAAAACGCCGACUAAUCCCCGAUGGGAUAUUGUGCCGCAUGGCACGAUAUUGAAAGUUACGGCGGCGACGGAUUGGCUCGCGUCCGAUUAGCUUGUUGGCGGGGUAACGGCCCACCAAGGCUACGAUCGGUAGGGGUUCUGAGAGGAAGGCCCCCCACAAUGGGACUGAGACACGGCCCAUACUCCUACGGGAGGCAGCAGUGGGGAAUAUUGGUCAAUGGGCGGAAGCCUGAACCAGCCAUGCCGCGUGCGGGAAGGAGGCCCUAUGGGCUGUGAACCGCUUUUGCCUGGGGGCAAUAAGGGCGUCGCGCACGCCCGAUGAGAGUACCAGGCGAAUAAGCAUCGGCUAACUCCGUGCCAGCAGCCGCGGUAAUACGGGGGAUGCGAGCGUUAUCCGGAUUCAUUGGGUUUAAAGGGUGCGUAGGCUGUGCGUCAAGUCGGGGGUGAAAUUCCGGUGCUCAACACCGGGGCUGCCCUUGAUACUGUCGCGCUGGAGUGCGGAUGCCGCCGGAGGAAUGAGUGGUGUAGCGGUGAAAUGCUUAGAUAUCACUCAGAACACCGAUUGCGAAGGCAUCUGGCGAAUCCGUAACUGACGCUGA
rnacentral:rRNA from 1 species